rnacentral:rRNA from 1 species
UACGAAGGGGGCUAGCGUUGCUCGGAAUCACUGGGCGUAAAGGGUGCGUGGGCGGGUCUUUAAGUCAGGGGUGAAAUCCCGGAGCUCAACUCCAGAACUGCCUUUGAUACUGGGGAUCUCGAGUCCGGAAGAGGUGAGUGGAACUCCGAGUGUAGAGGUGAAAUUCGUAGAUAUUCGGAAGAACACCAGUGGCGAAGGCGGCUCACUGGUCCGGUACUGACGCUGAGGUGCGAAAGCGUGGGGAGCAAACAGG